rnacentral:miRNA from 1 species
AUGGAUCAUCUAGAUGGAGAU